UACGUAGGGUGCAAGCGUUGUCCGGAUUUACUGGGCGUACAGCGCGCGCAGGCGGCCUCGUAUGUGACCGGUGACAUCCUCGGGCUCAACCCGAGGCGGCCCGGUUAGACAGCGGAGCUGGAGGCAGGGAGAGGGAUGUGGAAUACCCGGUGGAGCGGUGAAAUGCGUAGAGAUCGGGUGGAACACCAGCGGCGAAGGCGGCAUCCUGGCCCUGACCUGACGCUGAGGCGCGAUAGCGUGGGGAGCAAACGGG
rnacentral:rRNA from 1 species